CACAUACACACAUACACAUACCCACCCACACAAUUUUGCCAUUUUAAAUUUGUAUAGCAGAUGCUUGCAAGUUUUGAGAACAAAUCUUCACAUAUCUUAUUUGCUCUCAGUGCAUUUUGCUGAUCUGGAUAGCUAGGACCCAUCCUAUAAAAGUCUUAACUAUUUCUACCCCCACAGACCAGUACACGCCCUAUUGAUCUCUGCAAGGAAAACUGUCCUGGACUGACACAUCAGCUUCAGAGAGCACCUUUUUUAGCCUUUCUGGAGAGGUUACAAGAUUCUUUCCACAUGAUUGUAGUGUAGCUGGAGGAUAGGGAAGCCUAUUAGAAACCCCUGUUGAGUCAGAGUCUGGUGAGGUGUGAGAAGAAACAAAGGAAUCUGCCUUCAACUGGUUUUUCAAAGCUGGAGAAAUCCUGGGAGGAGAAGAAAAAAGGAGAGGUAAAUGCAUGCUGGGAAACAAAGAUGAGAAGAUUGAGUCCUGGGAAAGGGAAGUCAAGUGUAAGGUCCAAUAUAAAGGAGGAAUCAAAGGACUGCAAGACAAUUGGGAGUGGAUGGCGGUACUCUCCCAAUUGGGAGCUCUAGCAGCUGCUGCUGACACAAGGUGUCCCCUGAGGGAGAGUCUCACAGAACCUGUUGGGAAUUGA
rnacentral:lncRNA from 1 species